UACACUUUCUUCUUGCACUGACAAAGGCCU
rnacentral:piRNA from 1 species